rnacentral:rRNA from 1 species
GCUGGCGGCAUGCUUAACACAUGCAAGUCGAACGUGAAAGCACUUCGGUGUGAGUAGAGUGGCGGACGGGUGAGUAACGCGUGGGAAUCUACCCAGUAGUGGGGGACAACUACCGGAAACGGUAGCUAAUACCGCAUACGCCCUAUGGGGGAAAGGCUUCGGCCGCUAUUGGAUGAGCCCGCGUCAGAUUAGCUAGUUGGUAGGGUAAAGGCCUACCAAGGCAACGAUCUGUAGCUGGUCUGAGAGGACGAACAGCCACACUGGGACUGAGACACGGCCCAGACUCCUACGGGAGGCAGCAGUGGGGAAUAUUGGACAAUGGGCGAAAGCCUGAUCCAGCAAUGCCGCGUGUGUGAAGAAGGCCUGCGGGUUGUAAAGCACUUUCAGUUGGGAAGAUGAUGACGUUACCAACAGAAGAAGCACCGGCUAAAUCCGUGCCAGCAGCCGCGGUAAUACGGAUGGUGCGAGCGUUAAUCGGAAUUACUGGGCGUAAAGCGCGCGUAGGCGGCUAAGUCAGUCAGAAGUGAAAGCCCCGGGCUCAACCUGGGAAUUGCUUUUGAUACUGCUUAGCUAGAGUUUGGUAGAGGAUAGUGGAAUUCCAGGUGUACCGGUGAAAUGCGUAGAUAUCUGGAGGAACAUCAGUGGCGAAGGC